rnacentral:rRNA from 1 species
GAUGAACGCUGGCGGCGUGCCUAAUACAUGCAAGUCGAGCGAACGGACGAGAAGCUUGCUUCUCUGAUGUUAGCGGCGGACGGGUGAGUAACACGUGGAUAACCUACCUAUAAGACUGGGAUAACUUCGGGAAACCGGAGCUAAUACCGGAUAAUAUUUUGAACCGCAUGGUUCAAAAGUGAAAGACGGUCUUGCUGUCACUUAUAGAUGGAUCCGCGCUGCAUUAGCUAGUUGGUAAGGUAACGGCUUACCAAGGCAACGAUGCAUAGCCGACCUGAGAGGGUGAUCGGCCACACUGGAACUGAGACGCGGUCCAUACUCCUACGGGAGGCAGCAGUAGGGAAUCUUCCGCAAUGGGCGAAAGCCUGACGGAGCAACGCCGCGUGAGUGAUGAAGGUCUUCGGAUCGUAAAACUCUGUUAUUAGGGAAGAACAUAUGUGUAAGUAACUGUGCACAUCUUGACGGUACCUAAUCAGAAAGCCACGGCUAACUACGUG